GAUGAACGUUGGCGGCGUGCCUAAUACAUGCAAGUCGAGCGAACAGACGAGGAGCUUGCUCCUCUGACGUUAGCGGCGGACGGGUGAGUAACACGUGGAUAACCUACCUAUAAGACUGGGAUAACUUCGGGAAACCGGCGCUAAUACCGGAUAAUAUCUUGAACCGCAUGGUUCAAUAGUGAAAGACGGUUUUGCUGUCACUUAUAGCUGGAUCCGCGCCGCAUUAGCUAGUUGGUAAGGUAACGGCUUACCAAGGCAACGAUGCGUAGCCGACCUGAGAGGGGGAUCGGCCACACUGGAACUGAGACACGGUCCAGACUCCUACGGGAGGCAGCAGUAGGGAAGCGUCCGCAAGGGGCGAAAGCCUGACGGAGCAACGCCGCGUGAGUGAUGAAGGUCUUCGGAGCGUAAAACUCUGUUAUUAGGGAAGAACAAAUGUGUAAGUAACUAUGCACGUCUUGACGGUACCUAAUCAGAAAGCCACGGCUAACUACGUG
rnacentral:rRNA from 1 species